GAUGAACGCUAGCGGCAGGCCUAAUACAUGCAAGUCGAGGGGUAUGGGAAGCUUGCUUCCUUGAGACCGGCGCACGGGUGCGUAACGCGUAUGCAACCUACCCUUUUCUGGGGGAUAGCCCGGAGAAAUCCGGAUUAAUACCGCAUAAGACCACACGAUGGCAUCAUCGAGGGGUCAAACAUUCAUGGGAGAAGGAUGGGCAUGCGUGCCAUUAGCUAGUUGGCGGGGUAACGGCCCACCAAGGCGACGAUGGCUAGGGGAUCUGAGAGGAUGGCCCCCCACACUGGUACUGAGACACGGACCAGACUCCUACGGGAGGCAGCAGUAAGGAAUAUUGGUCAAUGGGCGCAAGCCUGAACCAGCCAUGCCGCGUGCAGGAAGACGGCCCUCCGGGUUGUAAACUGCUUUUGUACGGGAAUAAACCUCUCUACGUGUAGGGAGCUGAAUGUACCGUAAGAAUAAGGAUCGGCUAACUCCGUGCCAGCAGCCGCCGUAACAC
rnacentral:rRNA from 1 species